rnacentral:rRNA from 1 species
GAUGAACGCUGGCGGCGUGCCUAAUACAUGCAAGUCGAGCGAACAGACGAGGAGCUUGCUCCUCUGACGUUAGCGGCGGACGGGUGAGUAACACGUGGAUAACCUACCUAUAAGACUUGGAUAACUUCGGGAAACCGGAGCUAAUACCGGAUAAUAUAUUGAACCGCAUGGUUCAAUAGUUAAAGACGGUUUUGCUGUCACUUAUAGAUGGAUCCGCGCCGCAUUAGCUAGUUGGUAAGGUAACGGCUUACCAAGGCGACGAUGCGUAGCCGACCUGAGAGGGUGAUCGGCCACACUGGAACUGAGACACGGUCCAGACUCCUACGGGAGGCAGCAGUAGGGAAUCUUCCGCAAUGGGCGAAAGCUUGACGGAGCAACGCCGCGUGAGUGAUGAAGGUCUUCGGAUCGUAAAACUCUGUUAUUAGGGAAGAACAAAUGUGUAAGUAACUAUGCACGUCUUGACGGUACCUAAUCAGAAAGCCACGGCUAACUACGUG